UACGUAGUUAGCCGGUGCUUAUUCUUACGGUACCGUCAUGGGCCUCUCGUAUUAGGAGAAGCUUUUUCGUUCCGUACAAAAGCAGUUUACAACCCGAAGGCCUUCAUCCUGCACGCGGCAUUGCUGGAUCAGGCUUUCGCCCAUUGUCCAAAAUUCCCCACUGCUGCCUCCCGUAGGAGUCUGGGCCGUGUCUCAGUCCCAGUGUGGCUGGUCGUCCUCUCAGACCAGCUACAGAUCGUCGGCUUGGUAAGCUUUUAUCCCACCAACUACCUAAUCUGCCAUCGGCCGCUCCAAUCGCGCGAGGCCCGAAGGUCCCCCGCUUUCAUCCUCAGAUCGUAUGCGGUAUUAGCUACUCUUUCGAGUAGUUAUCCCCCACGACUGGGCACGUUCCGAUGUAUUACUCACCCGUUCGCCACUCGUCAGCGUCCGAAGACCUGUUACCGUUCGACUUGCAUGUGUAAGGCAUGCCGCCAGCGUUCAAUCUGAGCCAGGAUCAAACUCU
rnacentral:rRNA from 1 species